rnacentral:tRNA from 1 species
GCCCGGGUGGCGGAAUUGGUAGACGCACGGGACUCAAAAUCCCGCGAGCUUAGGCUCUUACGAGUUCGAUUCUCGUCCUGGGCA